GAAAUUUUUAAAUUCAUUCAUUCAUUCAUUACCACGCCAGAAAUUGCACGAAGUGCAAUUUCAUCACCCACCAGGAGUUGUAGCGUGCACCAAUGGACGGUACCACUAUGUAGUCAGCUAGCAUAGUAAAGAAGAGAGGAGUAAGAAAGAGGAGAUCUAUUAGUUCCGUUACCGGCAAGAUAGUGUUAAGAAGUUGUAACCAAAUAUAAAUAAUAAUGUACCUGACGCCUGAUUUUAGAGAUGGAAAAAAAAUUCUUAUAUUAGCCCAAAUCCUGCUAUAGAAGAGAUUGAGGAUUAUUUGGCGGAUCCAGUGGAACAAACAAAAGUGGAUGUUCUUAGCUGGUGGUCUGGAAAGUCUGGAAAUGACAAGUGAUUUCCAAAGUAUUCAACUAUGGCCAGAGAUUAUUUAGGGCAACAAGCAACAUCGUUUGCCCGUGAAAGAUUUUUUUUCAAUCCAAUACCCUCACGAAAAUACGAAAUAGGAUGUCGGCUAUGACUCUCAAGCAUGCCAAUCGAUCAAUUCUUAGGAUAUUCAUAUUUUAAAUUU